GCUGUCCAUUGAAAGGAAAGUAUUGGAAUGACGAAGCGAAGCGCCAGUCAAUUUGUAAGAUCAACAGAGAAACUUCGAUUGUACAAACAAAUGUUUGUAAAUUGCGGAUUAAUGGAAAUGCAUAAUGGAAAAUUACGUCUAUUAUUAGCAAAGAUGCCACAUACAUAUCCUUCCGCAGAAAAAUAGUAUUGUUAUUUUGUAGAACUAAAAUAAGUAAACAUUUGAUUUAUUUGAUAAUAGCAUUAUUAUGCAAACUAUAUAUUAAAAACAAAUACAUAUGAGUGCUUUCUGUCAUUCACAACAUCCAGGGUUGCUAGAGAGAUAUAAUUCGGUCGGCACCCAUCCCUCAAGUCCUGUGGUGUUGAGUGCUUAGCUGAAUUGCCCAUGAUUUUCUAUUUUUUUUUCUAGAGUUUUCUAAAAACUCUCAUUGUUGUGAAAUGUACGGUCGGCACCCAUGCUUCCGGUCCAGUUCGUUUAUAUUCUGAUGCAUAAAAAAUGGAACGUAGUCGCCUUAUUCUGGAACGUCACAGCGAGUUCGUUGCAAUAGUGUUUCUAUUUCCGGCAACAUUCGCGUGACGCUAGCGCAUGCAAAAGUGGUACUUUCCUUUGAGAACCGCACAAAAUCUUAAAAUCAAUCACCCUGACGAUCAUUAUAUGUACAGUACGAGGCUGUCACAAUUUGAUGAACGAGGCAGUUUUUACAACGGCAAUGUUUUGAACACCAACCGGAGUCCCAUAUGACCUGCAUCCACCUCCUAAAGACACAGUCUGCGGCUCUGGCUCAAAGCGUUUAAUCUAAAGAAAUCACCAAAACGUCCCUUUGUAUGCUCCUACCAAUUCUUUGACAAUAAGUUUACAGUGGAGCAUCCACACCCAGAAAAAUGGCUUGGCUACGAUAGUCCACUCGUGAAGACGCGUCGGGUGUUGGUUAGGCAGUCAUCAGUGACAGAUGACACAACAGGUUCAAGUUUUCACCAAAUUGAAAAUGAGGAUUGGCCAACACAAAUAGAAAGAAUGGAUUUACCUUCAGAGAAGGAUGCCCAAACCCAAUGGGAAGACCCAUCUCUAAGUGAUCACAACUACAGCUCAGGUGAUCAUGUAAAGCUCACUAUCUGUGAGGCAGGGAUACAGUGCCCAGCAGCACUGCUCUACAAAACCCUGCUGAGGAAUGAAGCACUCUGUUGACUGCAUACAGGCUUGUCUCUUGCCGCCCUUUCUACCCUCCUGGUAGAACAUCUUCUACCCUUCUACAAAGGCAGCUUUCAAUUAGACCUGACAGACCAACUUCUGAUGACACUGAUGAAGCUCAACUUGCUGCAGCAGUACCUAGCAGAAAGGUUUGGUGUUUUCCAGGGUAUUGUCAGUAAAAUUAUUAGUUAUUGGAUUGACAUGAUGGAAGAGUGAUGUAAGAGAGUCUGAGGGAGUACAUUCCAUGGUUGCCAAGGGAGAUCAUCCAUGCGACAAUGCCACAAAUGUUUUAAGGACUACUACCAAGGACCAACCUGGAUUAUCGACUGCUCAGAAAUAGCUUUACAGAAAGCAAGAAUCUGGAUUCAAGGGGGGAGUCAUUCAACCAUUACUACACCCAGAACACUAUCAAGUACCUUGUGGUCGGUCUGGUGAUGUUAAUUUCUUCAGCAUAUGGAGGUAGAUGUAGCAACAAAUAUAUAACGUUGGAUUCUAGGUUCUUGGAGAACCUCUGUCCAGAUGAUGAGGUCAUGGCUGACCGGUGCUUCACAAUCCAUGAACUGGUGUAUGAGAGGAAGGUUAAAUGAACAAUUCCAGCCUUCACAAAAAGAGGAGCACAGCUGUCAGUGGAGGACACCACAUGUACAAGAUUGAUAGCCAACGUGAGGGUUCAUGUGGAACACGUAAUUCAAAGGCUCAAAGGUUUAGAAUCAUCUCAAAGUCAGUGCCAAUCGACCUCUCAUCGAAAAUUGACAAAAUACUUUGAAUCUGUGCUGCCCUGUGUAACCUGUGUGGUGAUAUCAUUCAUGAAGAUGUUGAAUCAACUGAUCAGUCAAAUGCAAUUCACAGGGUUGAUUUCCCAUUAUGAAUUAAAGUUGUCUAAAGUUA